UUUAGAAAGUCUCUGAUCAGAACAAGUGUAAUUACGGAAAAAGAGUUUUCAUAGGAUUCACAAUGAACUCGAGUCGAGUCAAUCUAGCAUAUGACUGAUGAUGGAGUUUGACGAAUUUUUUAUGACCUCCGUCUAGUCGAAACUCAUGAUAGAUGGAUUGUAUCACAUGAUAACUAUACCUAGAGGUUCAUUCUUCUAUUCUGCUGGGUUGUUACAUGCUAUUAGGUAUCACUGGUAGAUCGUGAG
rnacentral:lncRNA from 1 species